GUACUCUCUUUGAGAGGACAUGUUCUAAGAUCAGAACAAUAAAGAAAAAUGAGCAUGGUCUCUGUGCUAGGAUGACAUAUAAAUUCAUGCAGGGUUCCAUUUGUUU